rnacentral:rRNA from 1 species
CGUGCGGCGCGGCGCGCGGUGCGCCGGCGGACGGCGGCGCGCCGGCGAGCGCGGCAGGGGCGGCGGGUGCGCCGACGCCGGCCGCCGUCGAUGCGGCCGAGCGCGCGCGCGUGCUCGAGCUGUUUCGCACCGAAGACUGAGCGGGGACGGCCAUGCAUACGCUCUACCUGAUCGCGAUCGUCGCCGAGGCGAUGUCGGGCGCGCUGAUGGGCAUGCAGCGCGGGAUGGACCGGUUCGGCCUCGCGCUCGUCGGCGCGGUGACCGCGCUCGGCGGCGGCACGGUGCGCGACGUGCUGCUCGGCCGCUAUCCGCUGACCUGGGUCGCGCACCCCGAAUACCUGCUGCUGACGCUCGCGGCGGCGACGUUCGCAUCGAUGACGGCGACGCACGUCGCGCGGCUGAAGUCGCUGUUCACGGCCGUCGACGCGCUCGGGCUCGCGGCGUUCUCGAUCAUCGGCUGCGAUGUCGCGGCGGCCGUGAACGGCAGCCCGGUCGUGAUCGUGCUCGCGGGCGCGAUCACCGGCGUUUGCGGCGGGAUGCUGCGCGACCUGCUCUGCAACGAGAUGCCGCUCGUGCUGCGCAAGGAGCUGUACGCGAGCAUCGCGCUGCUGACGGGUGGGCUGUAUGUCGGCAUGAAGGCGAUCGGUGCCGCGCAAGGUUUCGCGACCGUCGUCGCGCUGGCCGUGGGAUUCGCGCUCAGGAUGCUCGCCGUGCGGCGCGGCUGGCGGCUGAAGGCGUUUCAGGCGGCCGACGCCGGGUGACACGUCGCCGCGGGCGCGGCGGCCGCUCAUGUGCCGCUCGCGCGUCGUUCACGCGGGCACGAUGACGGGCGCGACGCCGUCGCCCGCGUCGACGAGCCGCACGCGAAAGCCGUAGCACCGCGCGAUCGGCUCGGGGCGCAGCACGUCGGCGGGCGCGCCUUGCGCGACGAUCGCGCCGUCCGCGAGCAUCGCGAUGCGAUCCGCGUGGCGCGCGGCGAGAUUCGGAUCGUGGACGAUCGUCAGCACGCCGAGGUUCCAGUCGCGCGACAGGCGUCGAACCGUGUCGAGCAAUUGAUGCUGAUGCGCGAGGUCGAGCGCGGCGGUCGGCUCGUCGAGCAGCAGGUAGCGCGGCGGCUGCGCCGCGCCGGGCGGCGGCCAGAGCUGCGCGAGCACGCGCGCGAACUGCACGCGGGCAAGCUCGCCGCCCGAGAGCGUCGUCACGUCGCGCGCAUCGAGCGCCGUUGCGCCGGCGAGCGCGAGCGCCUGCGACGCGAUCUCGCCGUCCGCAUGCGUGAGCGCGCCCGCGCGGCGCGCGUGCGGGUAGCGCCCGAGCAGCACGAUCUCGCGCGCGCUGAACGCGAACGCGGGCCGCGACGCCUGCGGCAGCACCGCCCGCAGCCGUGCGAGGCGCGGCGCGUCG